AUGGGGAGAGGUCUUAACUGGGGUCUCUUAGCAGCGUUUGACAAUCAGCAGUGUCCGGCUUCCCAGGAUAAGGAAGAUCUGGUGGCGAAAAGGACUUCGGAAGAGCGCGCCUCCGGUGCUAAUCAGCAGAGCGGGGAGAUCAAGAAACCCAGACCUGCACUCUUCCAGGCCCUCUUUCUAGGGCGGCAGAGCCUGGCUGGUGGGGUGGCUGUCAGCUGUCUCCGUGGGAAGACCUUCCAGCCUGGCCAUCAGGUCUUUGGAGUUCAUCUGCCCUAUUCUUUCCCUUCGAAUGUAAUUCUACGCUGGUUGUAA
rnacentral:lncRNA from 1 species